rnacentral:rRNA from 1 species
CCGCGUGAGGGAUGAAGGCCUGUGGGUCGUAAACCUCUUUUUUCUAGGAGGAAGUUCUGACGUGUACUUGAAGAAUAACCAUCGGCUAACUCCGUGCCACCAGCCGCGGUAAGACGGAGGAUGCAAGUGUUAUCCGGAAUUACUGGGCGUAAAGCGUCUGUAGGUGGUUUAGUAAGUCGAUUGUUAAAGCUUGGGGCUUAACUCCAAAACAGCAAUGGAAACUGCUAGACUUGAGUAUGGUAGAGGUAAAAGGAAUUUCCAGUGGAGCGGUGAAAUGCUUUCAUAUUGGAAAGAACACCGAUGGCGAAGGCAUUUUAGUGGGCCAUAACUGACACUCAGAGACGAAAGCUAGGGUAGCAAAUGGGAUUAAGAUACCCCAGUAGUCCUAGCUGUAAAG